rnacentral:pre_miRNA from 1 species
GUGAGAUAGAAUCAACGUUUGGAUAUGUGAUUUUACGUUGAUUUUGUCUCAUGA